AACGAACGCUGGCGGCAUGCCUAACACAUGCAAGUCGAACGAGACCUUCGGGACUACUGGCUCACGGGUGCGUAACGUGUGGGAACCUGCCCUUAUGCUCGGAAUAACUCCCUGAAAGGGGUGCUAAUACCGGAUAAUUUAUUCGGACAAAAGAUUGAUCGCCUUUGGAUGAGCGCGCGUUGGACUAGCUAGUUGGUAGUGUAAGAGCCUAUCACGGCUUCGAUCGAUAGCUGGGCUGAGAGGAUGAGCAGCCACACUGGGACUGAGACACGGCGCGGACUCCUGCGGGAGGGAGCAGUGGGGAAUAUUGGAAAAUCGGGGGAAGGCUGAUCCAGCUAGGCCGCGUGAGUCAUGAAGGCGUGAGAGUAGUGAAGCUCUUUUACCCGGGAUGAUACUGACAGUACCGAGAGAAUAAGCACCGGCUAACUUCGUG
rnacentral:rRNA from 1 species